CACGGCUAACUACGUGCCAGCAGCCGCGGUAAUACGUAGGUGGCAAGCGUUGUCCGGAAUUAUUGGGCGUAAAGGGCUCGCAGGCGGUUUGUUAAGUUUGAUGUGAAAGCCCCCGGCUCAACCGGGGAGGGUCAUUGGAAACUGGGGAACUUGAGUGCAGAAGAGGAGAGUGGAAUUCCACGUGUAGCGGUGAAAUGCGUAGAGAUGUGGAGGAACACCAGUGGCGAAGGCGACUCUCUGGUCUGUAACUGACGCUGAGGAGCGAAAGCGUGGGGAGCGAACAGGAUUAGAUACCCUGGUAGUCCACGCCGUAAACGAUGAGUGCUAAGUGUUAGGGGGUUUCCGCCCCUUAGUGCUGCAGCUAACGCAUUAAGCACUCCGCCUGGGGAGUACGGUCGCAAGACUGAAACUCAAAGGAAUUGACGGGGGCCCGCACAAGCGGUGGAGCAUGUGGUUUAAUUCGAAGCAACGCGAAGAACCUUACCAGGUCUUGACAUCCUCUGACAAUCCUAGAGAUAGGACGUCCCCUUCGGGGGCAGAGUGACAGGUGGUGCAUGGUUGUCGUCAGCUCGUG
rnacentral:rRNA from 1 species